AGAAGGUUAGUCCAAAAUAAGACUUCUAAUUUCGGCUUAGAAAACCGUGGUUAAAAUCCACGACCCUCUU
rnacentral:tRNA from 1 species